ensembl:rRNA 5S_rRNA 5S ribosomal RNA
GUCUUUGGCCAUACCAACCUGAACGCGUCUGAUGUCAUCUGAUCUCAGAAGCUAAGCAGGUUUGGGCUUCGCUAGUACUUGGAUGGUAGACUUGAGUCUUUCAUUUUCAAACAUU